rnacentral:misc_RNA from 1 species
GAUGAAGAACGCAGCGAAAUGCGAUAUGUAAUGUGAAUUGCAGAAUUCAGUGAAUCAUCGAAUCUUUGAACGCACCUUGCGCCCUUUGGCCAUUCCGAAGGGCAUGCCUGUUUGAGUAUCAUGAACACCUCAACUCUUCAUGGUUUUCCAUGAUGAGCUUGGACUUUGGGGGUCUUGCUGGCCUGUGGGUCGGCUCCUCUCAAAUGAAUCAGCUUGCCGGUUUUUGGUGGGCAUCACAGGUGUGAUAACUAUCUACGCUUGUGGUUUUCCACCAGGGUAACCUUCAGCAGUGGAGGUUCACUGGAGCUUACAAAUGUCUCUCCUCUGUGAGGACAGCCCUUUGAAUGUUUGAUCUCAAAUCAGGUAGGACUACCCGCUGAACUUAAGCAUAUCAAUAAGCGGAGGA